rnacentral:rRNA from 1 species
GACGAACGCUGGCGGCGUGCCUAACACAUGCAAGUCGAACGGUAAGGCCCUUCGGGGUACACGAGUGGCGAACGGGUGAGUAACACGUGGGUGAUCUGCCCUGCACUUCGGGAUAAGCCUGGGAAACUGGGUCUAAUACCGGAUAGGACUCCGGACUGCAUGGGCUGGGGUGGAAAGCUUUUGCGGUGUGGGAUGGGCCCGCGGCCUAUCAGCUUGGUGGGGGGGUGAUGGCCUACGAAGGCGACGACGGGUAGCCGGCCUGAGAGGGUGACCGGCCACACUGGGACUGGGAUACGGCCCAGACUCCUACGGGAGGCAGCAGUGGGGAAUAUUGCACAAUGGGCGCAAGCCUGAUGCAGCGACGCCGCGUGAGGGAUGACGGCCUUCGGGUUGUAAACCUCUUUCAGCACCGACGAAGCGCAAGUGACGGUAGGUGCAGAAGAAGGACCGGCCAACUACGUGCCAGCAGCCGCCGUAA